CAGGGCUGGACAUCUCGGGACAUGGCAUGGUGUGGAAUGAAGAUUUAUGUGAAUGUAUGGACUUGCUGCAGUAGGGGAAAUAGAGAGAUGGAACUUGAGGAUUUCAGCAAGGGAAACGCUUCGGGAUCGUCGGUUAACCUUUGUGAAUGAGGCACUGAUGUUGAAUGGUCUGAUUUAUGUGUUAAGUUAUGGAUUUCCCUUAUGAGCAUGUAUGUAUUUGUGGGCAUGGUUUAAUUGCAGCUCCGGUCUUCUUUUGGUUUCAAAUUGCAGGUAUUGAAACAAAGUUGUAGUGUUCAGUUAGCAUUCUAUUCUGCUAUUUUCCUGAUGCAUUCUUUCUGACUUUGAAUUAGGUACUGCACUA